GCUGGCCAGGUCUCUUGCUUGGCAUGUGCUCGCUUCCGACAAUCUUAUCCAUACACCUGUGCACACUGGGAGGGCGCGAAAGUGCCCUUAUUUACUACAUACACCUAAUUUGGAAAUCGCACGUGACUUGCGUCGUAUGGCGCUUAAAUAAAUACAACUUUUAACAACGGAUCUCUUGGCUCUCGCAUCGAUGAAGAACGCAGCGAAAUGCGAUAAGUAAUGUGAAUUGCAGAAUUCAGUGAAUCAUCGAAUCUUUGAACGCACCUUGCGCUCCUUGGUAUUCCGAGGAGCACGCCUGUUCGAGUGUCGUGAAACUCUCAAGCUAGAUGCUUUAGUGUCAUCUGCUUGGUUAUUGGACUCUGCUGUCUCCUUGUCUGGAACGGCUGGUCUCAAAUGUAUUAGCUGGCUCUUGUUGUGGGAAUUGGUUCUACUCAGCGUGAUAAUCUAUGACCGCUGAGGACAUCUCUCGGGAUGGCCAAGCCUGCCUUGAACUGCUUCUAACUCAUCAUUUCAUGAUAUUUUUCAACUUUGACCUCGAAUCAGGCGGGACUACCCGCUGAACUUAAGCAUAUCAAUAAGCGGAGGAAAAGAAACUAACAAGGAUUCCCCUAGUAACGGCGAGUGAAGCGGGAUGAGCUCAAAUUUAAAAUCUGGCAGUCUUCGAUUGUCCGAGUUGUAAUCUAGAGAAGCGUUUUCCGCGCUGGACUGUGUACAAGUUUCCUGGAUACGGAACAUCAUAGAGGGUGAGAAUCCCGUCCUUGACACAGACUCCCAGUGCUCUGCGAUGCGCUCUCGACGAGU
rnacentral:rRNA from 1 species